rnacentral:tRNA from 1 species
GGGGAUAUGGCGAAAUUGGUAGACGCUGCGAAUUCAAAAUUCGUUGGUUAACCGUGAGGGUUCAAAUCCCUCUAUCCCUA